rnacentral:rRNA from 1 species
UCGUCACCACCAAAAGAGUUAAACACAGGGACACAUAUGAAGUCUCGGAGCCGGGUGUUGGUUCCGGUAGCGAUCGAGGGAAGUUAGUACCGAAGUCCGGGAUGGAAGAUGGCGAGAAAAGCUGUGUGGAUUUCUGCGGUGCCCGUACCGCAAACCGACACAGGUAGGUAGGAAGAAGAUUCUAAGGCCAACGGGAGAAGGGUUGUUAAGGAACUCGGCAAAUUGACCCCGUAACUUCGGGAGAAGGGGUGCUGCAGCAAUGCAGCCGCAGAGAAUCGGCCCAAGCAACUGUUUACCAAAAACACAGGUUUGUGCUAAAUCGAAAGAUGACGUAUACGAGCUGACGCCUGCCCGGUGCUGGAAGGUUAAGAGGAGAUGUGCAAGCAUUGAAUCGAAGCCCCAGUGAACGGCGGCCGUAACGAUAACGGUCCUAAGGUAGCGAAAUUCCUUGUCAGGUAAGUUCUGACCCGCAUGAAAGGCGUAAUGAUUUGGGCACUGUCUCAACAGCCCGCCCGGCGAAAUUGUAGUACCGGUGAAGAUGCCGGUUACCCGCGACAAGACGGAAAGACCCCAUGGAGCUUUACUGUAGCCUAAUAUUGGGUUUCGAUGUUGCAUGCACAGGAUAGAUGGGACACUGGGAAGUAGGUGCUUUGGCGCUUGUGGAGUGGCCGUUGGGAUACCAUCCUUGCGAUAUUGGAAUUCUAACCUGCGCCUUUGAAUCAAGGCGGGGGACAUUGUUAGGUGGGCAGUUUGACUGGGGCGGUCGCCUCCUAAAGAGUAACGGAGGCGUUCAAAGGUUCGCUCAGCUUGAACGGAAAUCAAGCAAAAGAGUGCAAACGCAGAAGCGAGCCUAACUGCGAGACUGACGGGUCGAGCAGUAACGAAAGUUGGAGUUAGUGAUCCGGUGGUAUGUGAGUGGAAAUGCCAUCGCUCAACGGAUAAAAGUUACCCUGGGGAUAACAGGCUGAUCUCCCCCAAGAGUCCACAUCGACGGGGAGGUUUGGCACCUCGAUGUCGGCUCAUCGCAUCCUGGGGCUGUAUUCGGUCCCAAGGGUUUGGCUGUUCGCCAAUUAAAGCGGUACGCGAGCUGGGUUCAGAACGUCGUGAGACAGUUCGGUCCCUAUCUGUCGUGGGCGCAGGAUAUUUGAUGGGAGCUGUUCCUAGUACGAGAGGACCGGAGCGGACGUACCUCUGGCGCACCAGUUGUUCUGCCAAGAGCAUAGCUGGGCAACUAUGUACGGAUCGGAUAAACGCUGAAAGCAUCUAAGCGUGAAGCCGACCCAAAGAUAAGAUAUCCCAUUGUUUCAAACAAGUAAGACCCCUUGAAGACUACAAGGUUGAUAGGCACGAUGUGUAAGUGGAGUGAUCCAUUCAGCAAGUGUGUACUAAUAGGUCGAGGGCUUGAUC